rnacentral:rRNA from 1 species
UGGGGAAUAUUGCACAAUGGGCGCAGCCUGAUGCAGCCAUGCCGCGUGUGUGAGAAGGCCUUCGGGUUGUAAGCACUUUCAGUCGUGAGGAAGGUAGUGUAGUUAAUAGCUGCAUUAUUUGACGUUAGCGACAGAAGAAGCACCGGCUAACUCCGUGCCAGCAGCCGCGGUAAU